AGCCUCAAGGAGGGAAGAGAGGGACAUCAUGGUGGCGCUGGACUCCCUGCAGGGCUCAGCGGCUCCCUCAGGACAAGGAGAAAGCUGGGAACCCUAAGACAGAACUGGAGGUUCUCGUUGCCUAAAUCUCUCCUGGCUUGCUGCACAUGGAACCCAUUUCUUCCCAUUCAGGGCUCUGCAGAGGCAGAAGAUGAACAGUAAGAUGCAAAGAUCUGGCAACCUUCAGAGCUGGAUGUUCUCACAGAGCUACACAUGCCACAGUCAUCACUAGUUGCGAGAGUCUCCAGUGUUCAUUAAGCCUAUUUUGCUGGAAGUUUAGUCCCUGGAGGAUUAGUCCCUGCCCUUAAGGAGUGCCAAAGAAGACUUUGGAAUCUAAGUCACAUCUCCCCUGCUGCAAUUUUUUCCUCUUGAUAAUCAAGGAAUCUCACUGAUAAAACUCUCAAUGAGGAGCAGCUCUCCCCAUGAGCAAGUUCUUGCCUUCAUUGCCAGGGAGGCCCCAGCUAAGGUUAUACUGGGAAAGGAAUCUCUGGGGAGUACCUGGAAGAGGUCAGCUUCUCCUCAAAGGAAGCCUCUCCAGCUGGUGUACUGCAAAGCCUUCCAAGACCAAGUUCCCUCUUCCUGGCCUCUGGAACCAGCCUGUGUGCCAGCGCUGUGUCCCCAGUAACACACAUGAGUCUCUCCCUCAGAAGCCACAGAAGGAUGCAGAGAGAGACCAACCCAGGAUUGAUUCUCAGCACUUACUAAUUGUGUGGACAUAACUGCUCUGGACCUCAGCUUUGCUAUCUAUAAAAUGAGCACCCUUUUUAUAGAUAUGAACACUUUAAGAGAGUCAUAAAGAUUGAAGUUGAUUUGUGCUGCGCCUGGCA
rnacentral:lncRNA from 1 species